rnacentral:lncRNA from 1 species
UCACCAUCCCUUUGUGUAGUAUGUGUACAAGUCAUGAUGCAGCAAUUUGUGUAAGGAAUGCUGCAAAUUUAUUCUGACCACGCGGAAGAUCUAGGUCAAGAUUUUGUUGAUGAACAGAAGAACCAGCAUUAACGUCGAUAAUUCAAGCAUGAAUCUGGGGGUUGUAGCGUAUUCGGUUAAACGAAUCCACCUAAUACAAGUAUUAGCUAUAAGGAGAAUGGGCAGGUAA